UGCUGUGUGAGUGUUAGGGUGCUGUGUGAGUGCUACGGUGCUGUGUGUGUGUUAGGGUGCUGUGUGUGUGUUAGGGUGCUGUGUGAGUGCUACGGUGCUGUGUGUGUGUUAGGGUGCUGUGUGUGUGUGUGUUAGGGUGCUGUGUGAGUGCUACGGUGCUGUGUGUGUGUUGGGGUGCUGUGUGUGUGUUGGGGUGCUGGUGUUAGGGUGCUGUGUGAGUG